rnacentral:rRNA from 1 species
GAGUUUGAUCCUGGCUCAGGAUUAACGCUGGCGGCGUGCCUUACGCAUGCAAGUCGAACGGUCUCGAUGGUUUCGGCUGUCGGGAUAGUGGCGGACGGGUGAGUAACACGUAGGCAACCUGUCCUGAAGUGGGGAAUAACCAGCCGAAAGGUUGGCUAAUACCGCAUGUGGUCGGUUCCGGCCUGCCAGAGCUGAUUAAAGCCUUCGGGCGCUUCUGGAGGGGCCUGCGGCCGAUUAGCUAGUUGGUGGGGUAACGGCCUACCAAGGUGACGAUCGGUAGCUGGUCUGAGAGGAUGGCCAGCCACACGGGGACUGAGACACGGCCUCGACUCCUACGGGAGGCAGCAGCGAGGAAUCUUGCGCAAUGGGCGAAAGCCUGACGCAGCAACGCCGCGUGGGUGAUGAAGGCCUUCGGGUCGUAAAGCCCUUUUGCGGGGGAAGAAGUUCUGACGGUACCCCGCGAAUAAGCCACGGCUAACUACGUGCCAGCAGCCGCGGUAAUACGUAGGUGGCAAGCGUUGUCCGGAUUUAUUGGGCGUAAAGAGCGCGUAGGCGGCUCGUCAAGUCCGGGGUGAAAUCUCCCGGCCCAACUGGGAGGGGUCCUCGGAUACUGGCAGGCUAAGAGGAGAGCAGAGGAGAGUGGAAUUCCCGGUGUA